CCCGCGCAUCGCUCCGCCGUUCUUUCCGCCGCAAGGCGGGGAGGGAGGAAAGUCCGGGCAGCAUAGGGCACCGUGCUUCCUAACGGGAAGGGGUACCACUGGUGACGGUGGUGCCAUGGAAAGUGCCACAGAAAGGGAAACCGCCGACCCGUCGCAAGACGGAGGUAAGGAUGAAAAGGUGGGGUAAGAGCCCACCAGUGCCUCGUGUGAGCGGGGCAGCUUGGUAAACCCCACGGGCUGAAAGACCAAAUAAGCCGGGGCUCCCGUCCUCGGACGGGAUAAGGGCGGCCCGCUUGAUCCCGGCGGGUAGGUCGAUAGAGGUCCCGCGUGAGCGGGAUCCCAGAUAGAUGGCGGAGCCUUCACUGCCGCAAGGCAGCGGAGGACAGGAUCCGGCUUACAGGUGCGCGGGUAUU
rnacentral:RNase_P_RNA from 1 species